AUCCCAUGUACUGAAUAAGAUAGGGAUAAAGAGUUGGCUUACAAUCACCACUUCACACAAAUAACAAGUUAAACAUACAUCAUCCAGAGUACAGUCAAAGGUCCGACUACGGAACCAAAAUAAAAGAAGACUACCCCAAAUGCUAGAUCACCGAUCGUCCCAACUGGGCUCCACUACUGAUCAACCAGAAAAGAUACAAAACAAUGAUCAAGAUCUUCAUCGAGCUCCCACUUGAGCUCAGUUGCGCCACCUGCACUGGUAUCAUCGGCACCUGCAACUGUUUGGAAGUAUCUAUGAGUCACGAGGACUCAGCAAUCUCACACCCGCGAGAUCAAGACUAUUUAAGCUUAUGGGUAGGAAAGGGGUAAUGGGGUGGAGCUGCAGCAAGCACUAAGCAUAUAUGGUGGCUAACAUACGCAAAUAAGAGCGAGAAGAGAAGCAACGCAACGGUCGAGAAGCUAGAAGUGAUCCUGAAACUACUUACGUUCAAGCAUAACACAAGACCGUGUUCACUUCUUGGACUCCACCGAAAAGAGACCAUCAUGUCUACACACGCGGUUGAUGCAUUUUAAUUAAGUUAAGUGUAAAGUUCUCUACAACCGGACAUUAAAAAAUUCCCAUAUGCCACAUAACUACGGGCACGGCUCUCGAAAGUGUAUACCCUGCAGGGGUGUCCCAACUUAGCCCAUCACAAGCUCUCACGGUCAACGAAGGAUAUUCCUUAUCCUAGGAAGACCCAAAUCAGUCUCGGAAUCCCGGUUACAAAACAUUUCGACAAUGGUAAAACAAGACCAGGAAAGCCGCCCGAUGUGCCGACAAUCCCGAUAGGAGCUGCGCAUAUCUCGUUCUCAGGGCACACCGGAUGGGCAAGAUGUCGGGUUGGCAUAGACCCUGGUUGCCCAGGGGGCACCGGACAUCGCCUAGUUCGGACCAACACUUAGACAAGCACUGGCCCAGGGGGGUUAAAAAUAAAGAUGACCCUCGGGUUGGCCCACCCAAGGGAAAGGUAAUAGGUUGUUAGGCAAAUGUAAAACCAAGGUUGGGACUUGCUGGAGGAGUUUUAUUCAAGGCGAACUAUCCAGGGGUUCCCAUAACACCAGUAUGACGGAAACUAAGGCGGCAAGAGUGGAACAAAACACCAAGCAUAAGGCCGAGACUUCCACCCUUUACCAAGUAUAUAGAUGCAUUAAUUAAAUAGGAGAUAUUGUGAUAUCCCAACAUAACCAUGUUCCAACAUGGAACAAACUUCAACUUUACCUGCAACUAGCAAUGCUAUAAGAGGGGCUGAGCAAAAGCGGUAACAUAGCCAAACAACGGUUUGCUAGGAAGGCGGGUUAGAGGCUUGACAUGGUAACAUGGGAGGCAUGAUAAACAAGUGGUAGGUAGCGCGACAUAGCGAUAGAGCGGGCAACUAGCAAGCAAAGAUAGAAGUGAUUUCGAGGGUAUGGUCAUCUUGUCUGAAAUCCCGCAAGGAAGAAGAACGAGUCCAAGAAGUAGACGAACGGACGUAGUCGAACGAAUCCUCACAACUCCGGACCGAAACCGGAGCUAACGGGAUAAGCAACCCGGAAAGAAGCAAGCAACAUAGUAAACAACCGUCACAUAAACAUGGCAUGAAGCACAACCAAGUAUGAUGCAUGUCCAUUUUAAAGAGGCAUGGCAUGGCAAUAUGCACAAACAAUAGUAUAAAUUAAGUGGAGCUCAAAAUGCAACGAGUUGCAUAUUGACGAAACACCACAUUCAAUCAUUUAGUUCACUCUCGUUUAUGUACCCAACAAUAUUAAAUGUUUUUAAACAUGGCACGAGGUGAAUCAUAAGUAAACUACGCAGUUUAGGCAAUUUAAAUGAGGCCGGAAACAUCAAACAACAAUUCCGGAAAAUCCCCAUGUGCAUAUUUAAAGUUGGUACUGUUCUGCCCUAUACAUAAUUUUAGAGUUGUCAAACAUGCAAAGUAAAGCCAUCAUGUUAAACUAGACAUUUUUCUACCGCAUUUACAUAUAAAGUUUAUUAAAUUUGGAGCUACGGUUAUUUAGUUAUGAAUUAAAUCAUUUUAACAUGGCAAUAUGGCAAAUUAUAUGCAAACAUCAUUUUAAACAUUUUAAACAUGCAUGAAAGUUGGAUAUUACGAAAUUAGACAAAUUCUAAGCAUUUUACAUAUAUAAAUCAUUUAUAUGAUGCACGGUUGAAGAGUUAUUAAAUGCAUGAACUCUAGGGACUUUUUGUAAAACGGUGUUCUUUGUAUAAAUCGUAAAAUCGACCAGAGGGAAAAAACAGGCACUAGGCCUAAUCUGCUAGGCGCUGGGCUGAGGUUCUCUCACCAUGGGCCAAGCCUAGUCGGAGGGGAAGCAGGCCAGUUACUGGGCCUUGGAGGCUGAGCGAGGCCCACCAGGGCGAUAGGGCGGCCUGGACAUCGUCCUCGUCUCGCGCCCGCACGAGCAGAGGACCAUGGCGGCGGCGCGGCAACGGUCUGGCGACAGCGGGGUCCAGUGGCGCUAUCGAGGCCAGGAACGGGUUGCUGGGCAGCGGAUCCGGCCUCGGGGCGCCAGAUCUGGUCCGCGGCGAGGCAAGACGGCAGGGAGGCACGGAUCUCCACCGGCGACGAUGACCUGCGCGGGAGAGAGAGGAUGAGGCAGUGAGGGGAGGGGUAGGUCAGAGAGGAGGAAGAGGGCGACGGGGCUCCUGCUUGGGGUUCGCCGGCAAGGGUACUCCGACGGUCGGCGGGAUGGAGGCGAGAAGCAAGGCGACGCGGUCAGGCGGCUGGAGGAGGCGAGCUCCCUGGCGCGGGUGCUCGGGCAGUGGCGGUGGAGCGCUUGGGCCCUGAUGGGCUUCCCAGGGCCCGAUCCGGGUCCUGGCGGGCCUGCGGGAGAAGUGGGGGUGGAGGCGCUAGGUGGGAGCAGCAGUGGCUGGAGGGGCGCGGGCGCAGCGAGGUGGCGCGCUGCGGUUGGUGGGAAGCGGCGGCGCAGGUGGCGGCUGUGGAAGGAGGCAGCGACACUUGGCGGCGGUGGGCUGGGCGGCGCGGAAAACAAGGCCGGUGGUGCUGAUUUCGAGGGAGAUGCGGCGGCUAAGGGUAGGGGAAGGCUAGGGGUACCCAAAAUGGCAUGGAGGGGGUCUAUAUAAGGCAAGGGGGUAGGGUUAGGGGGUUUGAGGCCGUUUCGGACCCGUUCGAUCGCCAUCGGAUGGUCCGGAGCAGAGGGGGUAGGUAGGUGGGCUAAAUGGACUAUGUAGAGGGGGGUUGUACUGAAAAGAGAGGGAAGAACAGAGGCCCGACAACAGUUUCUGAACACCGAAAACGUCCGACGUCUGACCGGCUAUAAUGCCGCUAUAUGUUUAUCCGUUGGGGCAUCAAACGAACUCCGAAUGCGAUGAAAUUUGACAAGCGGUCUACCUACACUAUAAUAAGGCCGCACGCCAACCUUCAACCCAUUCCGAGAACAUUUUUUCCACUUAUAAAAUAAUAUUUCGAACAUGCCGCGGGCGCGUGCGAGUGUGGUUUGGCUCAAAACAGACAACGGAGAGAACUGGGAGACCCGGACGGAUGCAAGUUUUGAAAACAUGAUGAUGCAAUGAGGAUGAUGACAUGGCAAGAUGCAACACGCAAGCGAAUGACAAGGCAACAACAAGGAAUAGUUGGAAGACACCUGGAGCAUCAGUCUCGGGGAGUCACACUACGCUUCUGGCAGCCUCCAUCUUGAAGCAUAUAGAAGAGAGUAGAUGGUAAGUUCACCAAGUAGCAUCGUAUAGCAUAAUCCUACCCGGCGAUUCUCCCCUUGUCGCCCUGUGAGAGAGCGGUCACCGGGUUGUAGCUGGCACUUGAAAGGGUGUGUUUUAUUAAGUAUCCGGUUCUAGUUGUCAUAAGGUGAAGGUACAACUCUGGGUCGUCCUUUUACCGAGGGACACGGCUAUUCGAAUUGAUAAACUUCCCUGCAGGGGUGCACCAAAUUUUCCAACAUGCUCGAUCCCCUUUGGCCGGACACACAUUCCUGGGUCAUGCCCAGCCUCGGAAGAUCAACACGUCGCAGCAACACCUAGGCGCAACAGAGAGGUCAGCACGCCGGUCUAAAUCCUAUGUGUGCAAGGGUCUGGGCCCAUCGCCCAUUGCACACCUACACAUUGCAUAUGUGGCCGGUAAGUAGAGCUAGCAACCUCCAUUACAAAGGAAGUUGUGUUACGCGGUCCAACCCGGCACGCGUCGCUCAGCCGCUGACGUCAAGAAGGCUUCGGCUGAUACCACGACGUCGAGUGCCCAUAACUGUUCCCGCGUAGUUGGUUUGUGCGUAUAGGCCAAUGGCCAAACUUAGAUUAAAUAUCGAGAUCUCGUUAAGUGUGUUAUUUGAUGUAACCGCGGACGCCGACCAGGGCCAGGCCCACCUCUCUCCUAGGUAGUCUCAACCUUCCCUGUCGCUCCGCCUCAAAUUAACAGUCGGGGGCCAUCGGGAACUCAGUCCCACCACUACCGGGGUGGAACCACCUGUCCUUUCAGCCCCCACAUCGGAAUCACUUGUGGGUACUCUACGAGCUGAGCCGACUUUAGUCACCACCAUGUAUCAUGUAUAAUAGUGUAAUAUGUAUAUACCCGUGAUCACCUCCCGAAGUGACCACGACCCGAUAAUAUAGCAUAGCAGACAGACAAGAAUGUAGGGCCACUGAUGGAAUACUAGCAUCCUAUACUAAGCAUUUAGAAUUGCAGGUAAGGGUAAUAGUUGUAGCAACAAUGACAGGCUAUGCAGUAGAAUAGGAUUAACCGAAAGCAGUAACAUGCUACACUACUCUAAUGCAAGCAGUAGAGAGAGGGAAUAGGCGAUAUCGGGUUGAUCAAGGGGGGGCUUUGCCUGAAUGCUCUGGCAAGCAGGGGUUGUCGUCGAUGUAGUCAAUCACAAGGGUAUCGGCAGCAGUCUCGGGGUCUACCGGAAAGAAGUAACGGAGGGGGAACACAAUAAAUAACAAAGAAAUCAAAGCAUCACAAAGCAUAACAUGACAAUACACGGUGCUAGGCGUGCCCUAACGCGACAGUAGGUGAUAUCGGCAAAGGAGGGAACAUCCGGGAAAGUAUUCCCGGUGUUUGACGUUUUCGGGCAGAUGAAACGGAGGUGGAUUGUUGCAUGUUCGCUAUGCUAGGAAUGCGUAGCGGACGAACGAACUGUGUAUUCGGAUUUGUCUCGUCGUUCGGAGCAACUUUCAUGUACAAAGUAUUAUCAUCCGAGUUAUGGAUUAUUUUAUAUUAAUUUUUCAGAGGUUUACUGAUUUUUUUGGACUUCUCAUAUACCUAAAUUCGAAAUUAGACAGUGUACUACUUUUUAUACUCUCGGACAGCUAGCCUAUUAGAAUGACAGGCGGGUCCAGUGGUUGUGUCAGCAUGCACAGUCAGCAAGUCAACAGUCAAAGGUUGACCUGGUCAAAGUGUGAAUAGUACCCCUCAAAAAAAAAGUGUGAAUAGUUGUCGUGGGGUUUACUUGUCAUUGACUGAUAUUUUAUCUAAAGUCUUAAACAGGUUUAGAUAUCAGGGGACCAUGUGUCAAAGACUAGGUUUAACUAAAAUGUUAUUUAUCUGAGUGGGGCCUAGAAGUCAGCGUUAAUUGUAUCAGCUAAUUAGAUUAACUCCUAAUCUAAACAAGGGCCGACCCUAUCAGCCAGGGACACAACCGGCCUCUUGGCUGGCCUCGCACGGGCACAAGGUACCGGUGGCCAGUGCCAGAGGCACACACCGGAGCAGCGAGAGGGCGUUGGAGGGAAGGCGCAAGGCGAAGCGGGAGACAGCUGGGCGAGGGCUGGGUAGCGGCGGCCAGCGGCGACGCGGGAGCCAGAGUAGCAGUGGGUCGCGGCGGCGCAAGGCAUUGCAGCGGCGAGUUCAGCCGGCGCGGCAGCAGCGCAAUACAGCAGGCAGGGCAGCAUGAGCGCAAGCGCGGCAGCGGGCGGAGCCGUAAGAAGCAGCAGGCAGGCAGCAACAGGCAGGGCGCGUGGGCGGCUGCGGGGGUGAGCCACGACCGGCCGGACGCGGGCUGGUUAGCAGUGGUGAGGGAGCGCGGCCACGGGCAGUGAGAUGCGGGCGUUCGGCUACGGCGGAAUCGGCACGGAUCGGAACCAGGAUCGAGGGGAAUCGGUCGAGGUGCUCACCAUGGUUCCAACGGAGGCGACGGGGAGGUUGGAGGUGGACCGGAGAUGACGCAAUCGAUGACGGCGGCCGGCAAUGUACGUGGUGAGGAUGAGCUCAAUGAUGAAUGUACGAGGCCGCUUCGCUUGAUUUGUUGCUCAGGAUCGACGAAGUAAUCAGCGGUGAUCUUCCUGGUCAGCUCGGAACGGCGAGAGGAAGCUGUUGGUCGCACGAUUUACGGUGAGGCCGCCAUGGCGGCGCUCGGACGAGUGAGACAGAGAGGAAGGGAUGUGAGCG
rnacentral:lncRNA from 1 species